rnacentral:rRNA from 1 species
ACGAACGCUGGCGGCGUGCUUAACCCCUGCAAGUCGAACGGAAAGGCCCUGCUUUUGUGGGGUGCUCGAGUGGCGAACGGGUGAGUAACACGUGAGUAACCUGCCCUUGACUUUGGGAUAACUUCAGGAAACUGGGGCUAAUACCGGAUAGGAGCUCCUGCUGCAUGGUGGGGGUUGGAAAGUUUCGGCGGUUGGGGAUGGACUCGCGGCUUAUCAGCUUGUUGGUGGGGUAGUGGCUUACCAAGGCUUUGACGGGUAGCCGGCCUGAGAGGGUGACCGGCCACAUUGGGACUGAGAUACGGCCCAGACUCCUACGGGAGGCAGCAGUGGGGAAUAUUGCACAAUGGGCGGAAGCCUGAUGCAGCAACGCCGCGUGCGGGAUGACGGCCUCCGGGUUGUAAACCGCUUUCGCCUGUGACGAAGCGUGAGUGACGGUAAUGGGUAAAGAAGCACCGGCUAACUACGUG